GGAUUUCAACAACUAUGAUACACAAAGUAGAUUCUGACCAUAUUAUUUUCUCCACAGUCUACAAUCCAGCACCUAUUGAGAAGAGGCAGGGGACAGAACCUUCCAGACGCUUCCUGAUGGACACGAACACUCGGAUGCUCAAACAUGAAGUUAACGAAAUGAACAGAAGAGUUUCCGGCUUCUACAAUCCUCCAGCUUAUGAGGUGAGGAAGGGGACCCAGAAUUCUCACCCCACUCUUGUGGAUCCCAGAACUGGACAACUGCUGCCGCCUUUAACCGAGCUGCAGAGGAACGCAGAACCACAUCGCCAUUCCCGUUGAGUUCCGCAGGCAGGGAACAGAACCUUCCAGACGCUUCCUGAUUGACAUCAACACUGGGAUACUCAAGGAGGGACUUGACAAAAUGAACAGAAGAUUUUCUGGCUGUAAGCCUGCAAAAUGAGUGGAUUUCAACAACUAUGAUACACAAAGUAGAUUCUGACCAUAUUAUUUUCUCCACAGUUUACAAUCCAGCACCUAUUGAGAAGAGGGAGGGGACAGAACCUUCCAGACGCUUCCUGAUGGACAUGAACACUGGGAUGCUCAAACAUGAAGUUAACGAAAUGAACAGAAGAGUUUCCGGCUUCUACAAUCCUCCAGCUUAUGAGGUGAGGAAGGGGACCCAGAAUUCUCACCCCACUCUUGUGGAUCCCAGAACUGGACAACUGCUGCCGUCUUUAACCGAGCUGCAGAGGAACGCAGCUCCAUUGGAUGAGUUCAGACAAGGCACUGAACCUUCCAGAAACCUCCUGAUGGACCUGAAUGCAGGUCUACUUAAGGAACACCAAAAUAUGAUGGACAGGAGACCAGGCUGUAAGUCUGAAGUUCAAAUAUCUGAGAACAAAACAUUUAUGUAAUUGAAUCAGCC
rnacentral:lncRNA from 1 species